GGCCUCAUUAAAACCUUACUUGGAUAAAACCCCCUUGGGAAAACCAAGAAAGGAAAAAGAGUACCCAAUUUAUAAAGUCAAGAGGAAAAUCCAAGGAAGUUUACAAAAACAGAAAUAAACCCCAACCUAAAACCACCCCAAAACCAAAUACCAGCCAUGCCAAUUGCCAAUAAUAAAUUAGGAGUCCAUUCCAAUCAAGCUGCCACCGAGAAGAAAAAAAAUCACCACCACAUCCAA
rnacentral:lncRNA from 1 species